GGCGAGCUGGCGCAAUGGUAGCGUGCUAGUUUCCGGCGCUAGCGGUUCUGGGUUCGAGUCCCAGGCUCGUCG